CUUAGAGGGACAAACGGCGUUUAGCCGCACGAGACAGAGCAAUAACANGUCUGUGAUGCCCUUAGAUGUCCGGGGCCGCACGCGCGCUACACUGNAAGAAUCAGCGUGUGAUGGCGCCCUGUCCGGUAGGACNGGGUAACCCGUUGAACCUCCUUCGUGRUAGGGAUAGGGGCUUGUAAUGAUUCCCCUUGAAGGAGGAAUUCCCAGUAAGCACGAG
rnacentral:rRNA from 1 species